rnacentral:pre_miRNA from 20 species
UCCCCCUGUUUUUGGCAAUGGUAGAACUCACACUGGUGAGGUAACGGGAUCCGGUGGUUCUAGACUUGCCAACUACGGGGCGAGG